CAGGGAUUGCCCUAGUAACGGCGAGUGAAGCGGCAACAGCUCAAAUUUGAAAUCUGGCGUAAGCCCGAGUUGUAAUUUGUAGAGGAUGCUUCUGGGUAGCGGCCGGUCUAAGUUCCUUGGAACAGGACGUCAUAGAGGGUGAGAAUCCCGUAUGUGACUGGCUUGCACCCUCCACGUAGCUCCUUCGACGAGUCGAGUUGUUUGGGAAUGCAGCUCUAAAUGGGAGGUAAAUUUCUUCUAAAGCUAAAUACCGGCCAGAGACCGAUAGCGCACAAGUAGAGUGAUCGAAAGAUGAAAAGCACUUUGGAAAGAGAGUUAAAAAGCACGUGAAAUUGUUGAAAGGGAAGCGCCCGCAACCAGACUUUGCGGCGGUGUUCGGCUGGUCUUCUGACCGGUUUACUCGCCGCCGUGAGGCCAUCAUCGUCUGGGACCGCUGGAUAAGACCUGAGGAAUGUAGCUCCCUUCGGGGUGUGUUAUAGCCUCUGGUGAUGCAGCGCGUCUCGGGCGAGGUCCGCGCUUCGGCAAGGAUGAUGGCGUAAUGGUUGUCGGCGGCCCGUCUUGAAACACGGACCAAGGAGUCUAACAUCUAUGCGAGUGUUCGGGUGUCAAACCCCUACGCGUAAUGAAAGUGAACGGAGGUGGGAACUUUUUGUGCACCAUCGACCGAUCCUGAUGUCCUCGGAUGGAUUUGAGUAAGAGCAUAGCUGUUGGGACCCGAAAGAUGGUGAACUAUGCCUGAAUAGGGUGAAGCCAGAGGAAACUCUGGUGGAGGCUCGCAGCGGUUCUGACGUGCAAAUCGAUCGUCAAAUUU
rnacentral:rRNA from 1 species